GAAGAAGACGAAGAUGACGUUGAUGGUGAGUUAUGUAUCAGAGAUUCAGAGCAAGCCCUAACCCUAGAUUUCAAUAAUGUCAUCCAAGCAAGGUUCUGCACAAUUGUUCUUCUCCAUGGUUUUUGUUUACAUGAAUUUUGAAAUUUUACUAAAGUUAGUAUGUUAUGUCUCUGUUAUAAUUUGAUUUAUCAAAAAAAAAAAAAACAUCUUGCUGCAAAGGUGGAAAAGUGAAGCCACUAAAGCAACCAAAGGCUGAAAUGAAAGAAUACAAUGAGAUCUGUGUCGCGAUGGUGGAGCUUUUCAAGGGUGGGGUAGAUUGAUGAGGUUUCGUAAGUGGAGAUUCUGACGAUCUAGGGCUUAAACAAGCUUUCUACAGAAAUCCAGCAACGACGUAUGAUGUCAAGUUAUGAAUUAAUCAUCGAUUAGGAAAAAGAAGUAGAACUUCUUAUGCCAAACAAGGAAUUAUACGAGGAAAAAGAGCACUUAUCACUGGGUACAUAAAAGUUCUGUUGAACUGUUACU